GAUGUUUAUAGCUGCUUUACUCAUAAGUGCCAAACCUUGGAAGCAACCAAGAUGCCCUGAAGUUAAUACUGUUAAGCUUUGCAGUAAGAGAAUGAAGAUUUUGAUGGUUGAGAUUCCUGUUUCUGCCAAGAUAGUUACUUCUCCCUUAAAGGAAAAGUUUCAGUAGACUGCCACAAGCUAGUGAAGUUCUGUGCCUUCACAGGUUCUCAUAGACAAACUGACUUGGGGAAGCAAAGAAGAGAAGGGAAGACUGAACAAGGCAAUUCUUACAGUGAACCAGGAGCCUCAGCAACAUGUCCU